ACAGCGAUAGAUAUAACUGUGGCUAGUGUUUCUGAGAAAUCCUUCGGUUUGAGAGGGUGCGUCUGUUUCUCUGGUGUUUUCUAUGUUGACCAAAACGCGCAAGACUAGUUGACUUAUAGCCUGCGAGUGAUUCUGACAUGGGACUUCACGGUUUUCUGUAUAUUCCCAGUAUAAUUGGUGAGAGUUUGAUGCAUCACACCACUUUUAUAAGUGUGUGUGUGGGCAGUUGGUGACUUGUACAGAUAUGGUUAGUGUCCGUCGUUCGUAGGUUACAUUAGAGCUGCAUUGGUCCUUUACGCUUGUCUUCAAUGACCCAGCAGUUUUUGUUUCUGUAUAUACCUCAUCAGUCUUAUUAGAUGGUAGGUGCUAAGAGUGAACAUCUAAGCUUAUGUUUUAUUGUUUUAUUUAAAACAGAAACACUGCACAUUUUCAGUUUGUGCACGAAGGUGUGUUUAGAGUUUCAUUAUUGUGUGUCAGGCCUAGAUGCUUGGGUAGCCAGGCAACUCAAGCAGACCUCGCGAUCUGGAGCUUGGCUGGAUGUGGUUGUGGACAACUUUGGACCAAGCUAUAUGCGGCAAAAUUAGAUCAUCCCCUAUAUUUUUGAUGCCUGACACUAAGGUUGUGGGCCCCUGUGAGCUGGUUGGUCUCUUCAAUAGAAUGGUGCAUAUUUGUUUGCAACCACAACGCUAGGGGUCCACAGUGGAAGAAUUCUUUUAUGGAGAGUCCAAUCUGGGUGCAGGCAGUCAUGGCAAAAGGAUGUGUUGGCAGUAGGAAGUUUGCAUGGCCUGCCUGUGUGGCUGUAUGCCAGCAUCGUGUGCUCCUGAGGCUGCUGCCCGUGCCCAGCUGGCUGCACACUGGGCGUACUCGUGCUGAGCUGCUGAGAUAUACAAUGUACAAGAGACCCUACUGAGACAAAAAUAGUUGUGGUUACACACAUCAGAUGCCUGAACCCAAGGUGAAGAUAUCUCUGAGCAAAGGCUUAUUGUGGCACAAGCGAUGAUGAAUUCAUGACCAUCCAAGUUAAGUGGAAUAAAGAAGGUUAAUUUCUGUGUUUCGUACUGAAGUUGUUUAGGUGCCAUCACAAUGCCAGAUGUACUCAAGGGAAAAAGUACUAGCACUUCGGCUCAGUGUUGGGGAAGCUUCUCCAAACGUGUAGUUGCUAAGAUACCAGCUGCUCGUUGAUGGUUGUAAUUAUGCUACAGCAGCACUACUUUGGACAGAGUUAAUAUUUUGAUUAAAAUAAUAAUAAUAAUUAAUAGAUAAACACUAAGUGAAAGAAUUAAUGAGUUAGCAAACCAUAAAACAUUAUAACUGAAUAUAAUAGAACUAUAACUUAUUUUAAACCAGAAAGAACGUAGAAAGUAUCUUUGUCGAACCUAUUUUGCCACAUGGCUGAAAGAGUGAGGUGAACCUCUUUAAAAAUUAUUCUGAAAAUAAACCACUACAAACUUUUCGGACCUGUAGCUGAACUAGUAGCAUAGUAAGGCAGCUUGUCCCCAACACAGCUUAGGCUGUAACCUGAAUGUGGCAGUGUGUGUAUACCGUGCAAGAAUGGCGAUUUUCAUGGACACCCAAUUAACAUAAUUCAAAAAAGGCUACUCUCCCUGUCUGUAGACACUGGUCUUAUUUUCUUGCAGAAUCAUUACACAUCCAGUGUGCAGUCUGGUCCCAGCAGAGUCUGGGAUGAUUUUUUAAUCCUCCCCAAAGCCUAUAAUCAAGACCAUUUUGAAGUCUCAUCAGUACUUUGAAAAAUUUUGCAUUUCAAACUGAGACACUUUCAUUCAUUCAUUCAUUCACUGAGUCUUUUACAUGGCAAUUCAGUUAAACAUUCAGGAGUCCCUGGUCCACCAGAACUUUCAUUCACCAGCCAUUCAUUCAUUGUGGUUUCACCUUUUUCAGAGGCACAAAGUUCCAGGGAAAUUUGAUUACUGUUAGUGUAACCAUAGAUUGUUCACUCUAUGUGAACACUCUCUGGAAUUACAAUCAUUUGCAGGUAUGCAUCUGUGUGUGUGUGUAUAAAAUGUUAUUACUCAAACAUGCAACAAGAGGUGUCCUCUAAAAGAGAAAUAGCAGAAUUAAUGCAGAAGCACCUUUGGGGUGGGAACUACAGCCCCACUAAAAUGAGACGAGGAUCCCUCUGGAUGUUUCAUUCUCAAAAUCUCCAUCGCUCAUCAUCAUCAUUACGCACAAUUCAAAUGAAUAACAGUUUAGGUUCACCAAAGAGCCCUUAACCUUCACAAGAAAGAUUUCAGAGCUGCAUGUCAAAUUAGGAGCGUCAUUAAAAAAAAAAGAGAAGUUUACUUGACUAUAUUGUUCUUUUUCUUUUCCUUGUAUAGGGACCAAUACACCAACAAAUAUUACAAAGGUUGGAACCGCAAAUGCAUUCUUAAAACUGCAAAAUAAAACCUCCAAGAAUUUGACUUCUAGCUUCUGUUACACAAUCUGACAACUUGCUGCAGAUGACCACUACAAUUUAACCGCAUUACUACAAAUCAUGGAAACACGUUUUAAGAUCACAGCUUGUUUUAUUCAUAGAACUUAAUAUUCCUGUCAUUUAUCUAGUUUGAGUGAACGAGGCAGUCUCUUCUCCCAUCUCGAUUCCGAUUCAGGCCGUCUGAUUGGAAAAGACAAGGUUGUAAUUAGUCUUUAACAUUAAAGGGUUUUUCAGAAAUGUGGACAACUUCAGUAUCCUCACAUGGUCCAGGUCAGCCUGGGUCUUAUUUGAGCCAGAACUGGGCUAGCCCAGUUAGUGUUGCAUUUGAAUCCCUUGUACUGACAAUAGGGGUUAGUCCAGAACAAGCUAUUGCAAAAGGCCUCCAACGCAGUGUGAUAGCAGGUGAGUGUCCUGUUAGGCUCUGGCUAGGACAUUAGCUAACGCUGGGGUCACGGAGGACACUCCUGACCUCUGUUGUCAUUAAACUUCGAUUAAACUUACAGUCCAGUAGAAAAGACCACAUGUCUGAAUAUGCCAUUUUGGAACUCUGAAGAAUAUAAGAAUACUGCCUCUGUUAGACGUUUUAUGUUUUUGUGUAAACAUGCUUUUACUGCAAAACCUUGCGAAGAGCCUUUGUAUUUAUUUGUGGAUUUCAUAAUGGGUGGAGAGAGGUCUUCACUUAUAAAUGGAAGUGCAGGUGACAAACUGAAUAGCCAAGAGUACAUUGCAGUCUGCUCAAACUCUACAGGAGACCUGUAGGCGGUGCUCAGAGCUUCCCCAACAUCCCCCUCCACCCCCAUAACAGAAUUGGUCCCUCUGUAGUGGAGGCCUCUUCACGAAGCCAGCUGCAAUGAUCAGCUCUUUUCUGUGGGUCUCCUGCCAGCUCUUAGAAGGUCAGAGUUUUUCCAUCAUUGCAAGUCUGGAUAGAGUUUGAAAGGUCAAUGAUGAAACACAGAGCUGGAGACAUAACAUAACAGUAACAUCAUCAUCAUCGUGUAUGUGUGUGUGUGUCUCAGUCUUGUUUGACUGAGCAAUGGUCAGCGUGGCAACGUCAGUCCUGUGUGUCUCUUCACUCACAGCAGUAGCCACAUCUCACCCCCAGUUUUAUCAGAAGUGGUUUUGGCUCACCACUUUCUAUGUUAAACCUAAAGGUUAUAGCACAGUUUGCAUAUAAAUUAUUGGCAUUUUAAAUUAAUUCACGUUGGUACUAAUGUAGAAUAUAUAUAUUUUUAAAAAGCAAUCAGAAAACAAACUGCAUCUAGAGCAAUAGUAAAUCUAUUUGUCAAUUAGUUUUAUCAUGGCAUGAGAGGCAAAAGACACUCAGAAAUGGCCUGAUCAGUAACAGAGCCCUCCUCUUACUCGAACAUACUGGUAAACCUUAACGUAGGACUGUGCGUCACACGGAGCUGCAUACCAGCGACAUUCAUAAGAACAGAAACGCUAGUGUGUUUGUUCUUCACUUGUCUCAGGGGCGAAGGCUUGCAUCAGUUGCCACUACCUAGACUGCUUGAGGUAGCGCAGGGAGCCCGCUUCAGUGAUGAGUGGUGGAGCAACGCUUUAGACACCCAAAAAAAAUUAGAAGGAAGGGGAUUGGGGAUGGGGGGAUAAAACAAAAACCCCAAGCAAACUUAACAGGCAUUUUAGAUUUCAAUGGAUAAAACGAGAUCACAAUGUCUCUGUAGGGUUUUUAGCCCAGUUUUCUCUCUUCUGUAGGAAAUCAGAAAGUCUGAUCUUUUGAAGUCUGGAGAUCGUCUGUAGGAAAGUGGGCCAUGGUGCCAUUGGAAGGCGGCUUUAUCCCACACGUGAGAGAGAGAGAGAGAGAGAGAGAGAGAGAGACGCCACGGCAUUCUCCCAGGGUUCAGGACUGUGAACAGGGAUAAAGGGUCUCCUGAGCCAAGUGACCAUGAUGCUCAAUCCCUUCUGUCACACGGGAUCAGGAAUGUGUAUGGACUUGAGUGUGUGCGCGCGUGGAGUGAGGAGAAUGCACUCCUGUCGUUAGCCCAUACACGAGCGUCCUGCGGCGAGACUGUGCGACAGCAGGAAGGCCUGCACCACCUCA